AAUCGAGGGUAAAGGAAGAGGGGUUGUUGCUGAGGAAUCCUUUGAGGAAGGGGAUACGGCCACGAGCUGAAUCGGAUGGUGAUUCGAAGAAAACGCAAGGAAGAAGAAGAAGCGCGUGCACUACACGCAGGCGCGUGAGGGCCGCGACUGGUUGUGCGACUGGGCGUGCUCCUGGCGCGUGGGACAGACACACCGAGGAUGAGAGGGCGCGUGAGGGCGCGUGAAGCAUCAUUUUGGGUUCCCGGUCUAAUUGGAAGGAAUUGUGUUGAAAUACCCUAUUAAAU